UGUCUGCACAUUUGAGUACUAUUCAAAUUCAUGCACGGUGCAAGUUUUUGGACGGCUAUCUGCUGACCCUAAAGAGAGCAUAACAAGUGAAAAACCCAGACAGCUGAAUGACUGAACAAGAGCGCAGAGGUGAAAUUGCAGUUGAUUUAAACGAAAUCAAUAGUGAAAAUCUCUGUCCCCAUGGUAUCAACCUGCGCUAUGCUGAUGGGUAGACGGAGAAAGUGUGCAUGGAAUUAAAUAUACUCUCUCCACUGCAUGACUGAAACUGCUCAUCUCCUGGGAUUUUCAUGCGCAACAGUCUCUAGCAUUUACACAGAAUGGUGUGAAUGUGCCGUGUUGAUGAAAGCGGACAGAGGAGAAUGGCCAGACUGAUUCAAGUUGUCAG
ensembl:lncRNA